rnacentral:lncRNA from 1 species
GUCCGAAAUAGCCCGGACAUUCUUCCGUCUUCCUCAAACCUGUUCAGCUUACAUUUGUGUUGAUGAAUGCCACCAGCAGCCGACUAUGCGUGGGAGCCAACCUUGAGGACACCUGAUCUCUCACUUCUUAUGUCAGAUGGUUUGAAUUCAUAAUUCUAAAUAUCCAUCCUCUCUUGUUUAUUAGCAUUGUUGUUCUGGUCCAGGCCUUCAUCAAUAAAGCAAUUGCAGCAGCUUACUAGUAGGCCACUUUGCCUCAUUUGAGACAGAAUUUUUCCAUUAUACAUACCUGAACACAUAACUCUUGCCUAC